AGAGUUUGAUCCUGGCUCAGGAUAAACGCUGGCGGCGUGCCUAACACAUGCAAGUCGAACGCGCCUAAGCAAUUAGGCGAGUGGCGGACGGGUGAGGAACACGUGGGUAAUCUACCUUGAGGUGAGGAAUACCGGCGAGAAAUCGCCGACAAUACCGCAUACGUUUGGAAACAAACAAAGCUGAUUUAUCGGCGCCACAA
rnacentral:rRNA from 1 species